rnacentral:sRNA from 1 species
CCCGACUCGAAAACUGGUCUAAAAAAAAAUAAAUUAAUCUUAGAUUCUAGAAUCUAGAUUCCAUCAUAGUUCAUACCCAGAAAGAAUUGUAUAUUUCAGAUGGUGUACAAUCUGAUCAGCAUUUAUAACACUUGACAAGCCAGUUAAAGUGCUCCCAAGAAAAUAUUAUUUAAAUUUUUAUCAGAUCUUGGAUACACGGACUGAGACUAUUCGGCAUGGUCAUGUUUCUUAUUAAACUAAUUUUAUUUUAAAAAAAGAUUAUUAUAAAUACAGAUCCAGAAAUGAAGGCCAAAAUCUACUUACACGGGGAUGAGUUAGCUGAUGGCAGUACCUUGCACUGUUCAUUGUCAUCAACUGUCAUUAUCUUCCUCAUUCGCUACUGCCAGACUCAUCAAUUUGAGUUAGUCUUUGUCACUGACAGGAAUUCAUCCAAUUGUUGUUCUUUAAAAUUAAAGGUGAUUCCUCAAAAUAUUUGUACUUAAAUUACUUUUUAUUACAUAUUUAUGGGUUUUGGAAAAUGAUCAGCUUUUGGUUAAUGGAUUAACUAAUUAGACAAUGGUUUAAAAUCUUUGUGAGGCUUGGGAAGUCUCUAAGCUGUUAGCUUGAAAGCUCUGAAUUGUUAUAAAGAAAAAAACAUGAAACAAAAGGUAACUAGCCCUCUCAACAUGCUAU